rnacentral:rRNA from 1 species
AUUGAACGCUGGCGGCAGGCUUAACACAUGCAAGUCGAGCGAGCGGCGGACGGGUGAGUAAUGUCUGGGAAAAUGCCUGAUGGAGGGGGAUAACUACUGGAAACGGUAGCUAAUACCGCAUACCAUCGGAUGUGCCCAGAUGGGAUGAGCUAGUAGGUGGGGUAAUGGCUCACCUGGGCGACGAUCCCUAGCUGGUCUGAGAGGAUGACCAGCAACACUGGAAUUGAGAAUCGGUCCAGACGCAUACGGGAGGCAGCAGUGGGGAGUAUUGCUCAAUGGGCGCAAGCCUGAUGGAGCAAUGCCGCGUGUGAGAAGAAGUCCUUCGGGUUGUAGAGCACGUUCAGCGAGGAGGCGUUACUCGCGGAAGAAGCACAGGCUAACUCCGUGCCAGCAGCCGCGGUAAUAC